rnacentral:rRNA from 1 species
GCGAGCGGCCAUAGUGGCCGGGGACACACCCGGACUCGUUCCGAACCCGGAAGUUAAGCCCGGCCACGUCCUGCGGAGUACUGGGCUCCGUAAGGGCCCGGGAAACGCAGGAGCUGCUAAGC